GCAAACUUGGUCAUUUAGAGGAAGUAAAAGUCGUAACAAGGUUUCCGUAGGUGAACCUGCGGAAGGAUCAUUACCAAACUUUAGCUGUCCGGUCGAAAGGCCACGACGCUUCAACCCUUUGUGAACCAAAAAACCUUUCGCUUCGGCAGCUGUCCCGCACGGGUCGUCAGCCUGCCGGUGGCACUUCAAACAAAAACUUGCAGUACAACACUGUCUGAUACCAAAUUUUCGAAUGAAAAUUAAAACUUUCAACAACGGAUCUCUUGGUUCCCGCAUCGAUGAAGAACGCAGC
rnacentral:misc_RNA from 1 species